rnacentral:tRNA from 1 species
GCCCCAGUGGCCUAAUGGAUAAGGCCCUUGGCCUCCUAAGCCAGGGAUUGAGGGUUCGAGUCCCUUCUGAGGUG